rnacentral:lncRNA from 1 species
AACCAUCUUAUUUCAAUUUAAUACAAAUCUUGGCAAGAAAAUUUUCUGCUAUAGAUCGUAGUGUCUUUAACGUGCAUGCAAUUUUUGAAAUGUUAGACCCCUCUCUUGAAUAUGAAACUAUUAGGUAGUUGAGCUCUCUGUCAUCUCCUUUUUUCGAUGAUCUAAUCCUCCACCUAAACCCCUUUUUUAAAGCAUACUCUUGAUAAUAUGUUUUAACUUCCUCUAGACAAGAAAAACACAUCCCAAUUGCAGGAACCCAAAGUGAGUCAUCA